rnacentral:hammerhead_ribozyme from 1 species
CUGACGAGUCCCAAAUAAGACGAAACACGUGUC